rnacentral:tRNA from 1 species
GCCCUGGUGGUCUAGCGGUAUGAUUCUUCCUUAGGGUUCUUGAUCAUUCAUCAACUUGGAAGAGGUCCCAGGUUCGAUCCCUGGCCAGGGCC